GAUGAACGCUGGCGGCGUGCUUAAUACAUGCAAGUCGAACGAAGCACAUAAGACAGAUUCCUUCGGGUUGAAGACUUUUGUGACUUAGUGGCGGACGGGUGAGUAGCGCGUGGGUAACCUGCCUCAGACCGGGGGAUAACAGUUGGAAACGACUGCUAAUACCGCAUAAGCGCACGAUACCGCAUGGUAUUGUGUGAAAAACUCCGGUGGUCUGAGAUGGACCCGCGUCUGAUUAGCUAGUUGGAGGGGUAACGGCCCACCAGGGCAACGAUCAGUAGCCGACUUGAGAGAGUGAUCGGCCACAUUGGGACUGAGACACGGCCCAAACUCCUACGGGAGGCAGCAGUAGGGAAUAUUGCACAAUGGGGGAAACCCUGAUGCAGCGACGCCGCGUGAAGGACGAAGUAUUUCGGUAUGUAAACUUCUAUCAGCAAGGAAGAAAAUGACGGUACUUGACUAAGAAGCCCCGGCUAAAUACGUGCCAGCAGCCGCGGUAAUACGUAUGGGGCAAGCGUUAUCCGGAUUUACUGGGUGUAAAGGGAGCGUAGGCGGCAUGGCAAGUCAGAAGUGAAAGCCUGGGGCUCAACCCCGGAAUUGCUUUUGAAACUGUCAGGCUAGAGUGUCGGAGGGGUAAGCGGAAUUCCUAGUGUAGCGGUGAAAUGCGUAGAUAUUAGGAGGAACACCGGUGGCGAAGGCGGCUUACUGGACGAUCACUGACGCUGAGGCUCGAAAGCGUGGGGAGCAAACAGGAUUCGAUACCCUGGUAGUCCACGCCGUAAACGACAAUAAAGGGGUGUCGGGGGACAAUAGUUUUUCGGUGCCGAAGCAAACGCAAUAAGUAUUCCACCUGGGGAGUACGUUCGCAAGAAUGAAAACUCAAAGGAAUUGACGGGGACCCGCACAAGCGGUGGAGCAUGUGGUUUAAUUCGAAGCAACGCGAAGAACCUUACCUGCUCUUGACAUCCCGGUGACCGGACAGUAAUGUGUCCUUUUCUUCGGAACACCGGUGACAGGUGGUGCAUGGUUGUCGUCAGCUCGUGUCGUGAGAUGUUGGGUUAAGUCCCGCAACGAGCGCAACCCUUGUCUUUAGUAGCCAGCAGUUCGGCUGGGCACUCUAGAGAGACUGCCAGGGAUAACCUGGAGGAAGGCGGGGAUGACGUCAAAUCAUCAUGCCCCUUACGAGCAGGGCUACACACGUGCUACAAUGGCGUAAACAAAGGGAAGCGACCCUGUGAAGGUGAGCAAAUCUCAAAAAUAACGUCUCAGUUCGGAUUGUAGUCUGCAACUCGACUACAUGAAGCUGGAAUCGCUAGUAAUCGCGAAUCAGAAUGUCGCGGUGAAUACGUUCCCGGGUCUUGCACA
rnacentral:rRNA from 1 species